UCAACAUGAAAAAUCAGAGUUUAUUUUUAUUGUUAAAAGUUUCUUCUAAGUGGCUUUUAAAAGUUGCUUUCAUGUGAAGUUUUUCAAAAGCCAGACAUUUAUUCAACGUUAGGGAACUCCCUAAAUGUGUCUCUUCUGUACAUAAGACAUUUCAAAGUUGGUAGGUAAAUGGAUAGUGUUGUGUUUUCUGUAUUGCUAGAUUGUCUCAAUGUUGUGUUUAGAUUUUGGAUGCCUUUAGGUCCGUUGUCCUGCCUUAUGCUAUCAAGUCAUGGCCGAUCCACAGCGACAUCACGGACACAUCUCUCCCAGAACGCUCCACCUCCGUCUGCAAUUGUUCUGCCUGGACCACAGUUGAGGUGUUCCAUGUCAGAGAUACUUUGAGGAUCAUGGUGGAUGAGGAAACAAUCCACACUCGAAUUGGGAUCGGAUGAGAAUAAUGGUGGAAAGUCCACUCAUCAAGAGAUACCUCUAAAAGGAAAGGGUGGCAAAAUUCCAAGUCAUGGAAACUGGGAAGAUGUGAAAUGCUUUUUAACUGAAGGAAUCAUAUAUACUCUGAUAGAAAGCGGUAAGUUGUGUAUUAUCGCCACGAAGUAGUUUCAGGAUGGUGUAGAGAGGUGAAGUGCAUUAUUCAACCCAAGCAGUAACUAGAGUAGCUUUUUUCACUUUUUAAUCAGACUGCAGUCCACAGAGAAUGGUAAUACAUUUCCCCCCAUAUUCUCCACAUUUGGGAGCCACAGUAUACGGUUUUUCUAGAUUGAAGGCCAAAGGAUCCUGAAGUGGUAAAUAAUUUACUACAGGCAUCAGAAAAUGUGCUUUGGGCUUUUAAGGCAAUGCCAAAAUGGAUAGCAACAUUUUUGCUGCCAAUGACAAAUGUGUUUGAUUUUGCCAAGGGCAUGGGGCAGCCUCUGUCACUGAAGAUUGCCAUCAAAUUGGGAAAUAUCAACUAUUUCAGGCCUUUUCCACAGGAAGCAUUGAUCAAUCAGUGGCAGUUACUGAGUGUUUACUUGGUGCAGAGUAU